GAGCUCUCACUUCUCUGGUCAGGGUUCUGUCUUUCCUCUGUUUUUUAUAGUGAUACGAUGGUCAUUUGAAUCAUAGAUACAAAAAAUCUAACUGUUGAUAUAAGGAGAUCAGAACUGCGUGUAUUUCAUGUUGUGCUUUGAAGAAGUAACGUCCUUGCAAAAACCAAAGAGCUCAGAGGAUUUCCUCUGUCAUUUUCCUACUACCAGCCGUCAUGCGUUGCAUUCUCUUCCAAAAGAGAAGGUGAAAAGGAGCGAGACAAAGAAGAAAGGGAUCACAGUAUCUCAAUUUUAUUUUCUUUCCUGAAAAGUAUUCUCUUUGGACAGACAGUAAUUGUAGUUUCUAAUGACACAAACUUGAAGGGAAACAGAAGAAGACUACAAACAGGUUUAUGGGCCUAUCAGCGGGAAUAUGUGGCUACAAAUUGCUGAGUAAAUGAAACAGCCUGUUGUUUCCUAAGACUGAGAUUGUGAGUGUUAUGCCAAAGUAUUUGAGGAGGAGCUAGAGCACCAGGCGGUGUAAAGAAUACCUGCUGAGCCCUAAUUGGUGCCCACUGUUGUUAAUGGCUUCCUGUGGCUGAGUGUUUACUUGUCAUUUGUUUUGUGCUUUGUUUCCCAGCUACUGGAAGGAAUAAAAAUACUGACCAAAACUUUAUUUUGCUUUUAAGUGUAUCCCUGGACAUCAAGUGCUGCACUGCAAAUUGUCUCACGAUGCUAAGUACCUCAAGUCCAUUCCUCAGACCUGUAAUUAUCUGGUGCGCCUCAAAAGUUACAUUGCAUUGGAUGCUGGUUUUAAAUUUUGAAAAUUAUCUGAUUUAUUACAGUCUGUAUUAUAUGAUUUUAAAAAUUGUGUUAUGUGAAUGCCUGGGGAGUUUGUCUACAACAAGGCUUUUGUAUGGUUGGACAAACAAACAAAAAAACAAAACACCACCUUAGACAAAAUCAGACUUUUCUUAAACAUCCGUUCUCCAAAAAUAUUCAUUUCUCCCAUAAACCUCAGCUAUUAUGGGAUACAUGUGAAUAGUCUGUGAGAGACGACAAAGGAUGGAACCUUGUGUGCUGAAGGCUUAACGAAGAAGUUCCCACCUGUGAUGCAAAUCUUGGAUUUAGAGAUAUUUUUUUCUGUCCUAUUCCAAAGGGACAUAAGAAACAAACAAACAUACAAAAUGAACCACUAUCAUGCUGUCCAGGUUGAUGUUUCAGAUCCUUGCUUGCUCUGUUGUUGUCUCCUGGCAAGACUGCCUGCUAGUGCCAGCUAUGGUGUGAACACCUCCCUGCUGGGAACAGGAGUGAAACUGCCAUUUUUAAUUGGGACACUGAAUAAUUUGUGGUGAAUAGCCAUGUAUGCUCAUUACCGAUCAAGGAAGAAUUAGAACCAAUGAAAACUUUCUAAUCCCAUAAUCUUGACUCAUCUAUUUAUAUCGCAUUGUACUUUUAUUUUAUUUUACUUUGUUUUGUUUUAUUAUUUUUAGCUGGUCAAGGGGAAGGUUUAACUUCAGUAAACCUAAAAAGCAAUGUGGAUUUCUGAGGAAAAAAUACCAGUGUCUUGAUUCAACAACUAAUUCUUACUCUGCAUGUUUAUUUUCAAAGAACUCUUAAUAUCUGUGCCCUGUUCAGCUUUAUGUAGGGAAACAUAAUAUAACAGUGAAGAACUGAAUCGGUUUGAUAGUGUUGAGAUUAUGUUUGAAAGCAACCUCUUUAGUAUGUUAGAUUUCAGCCACUCUUUGAGAUGCUCUCUCAGACAAAGCAGAUAAUGCAGGAGCAGGUUUCAGUGAAAUAGAGAACAUUCUUGCAUUGUUGAUUACUAAAUAAUAAUCAAGUGUUUUUGGGUUUUGAUUCUCUCUCUUGUUCUCUUAGACUAUUAUUGGAUUGUGGAAUGAACUAUAUAUUUGUGGGAUCUUAAAGAAUCAUCAGGAAUUUGAAGACUUUUGGAUGCUGAUUCCAAAGGGCUGCCACACUUCACAGCUUAAAGAUAAACUUGGGGAUAUAAAAUGAAAAAGAUGGAGGUCGUGAAUGUUUGUUCAUAACUGAAUGUUUAGGGAGUUUAGAUUUAAAAACAAAACAAAAGGUUUCAAAAACUGGCAGCAACGUGACAGCAAGAAAAAAAAAGGUGAUGUUCAUGAUUGACUCGGCUAUAGUAUUGAGGUGAUUAUUCAAGUACAGUAGUCUUUGUUGGGUUAGGAUGAGAAUUACUGGGACUUUUGGUUGUGAUAAUUUUCAUAAAGCUCACUCAUUUUGAUCCUCUCUAAAGUCAUUGAAAUAUGUAGAUAGAGUUAUUAUUCUGUUAUCUUGCUCCUUUCUUAAGCAUUCCCAUUUUUUUUUACACAUUUAUGUGGUUUUGUAUCCUACUCUUUGCCAUAAUCCUGUGAAUGUGUACUUGGCCCACUGUAGCUACCUCACUAAUCUCAUCUUGCUGGUAGAAUCAGGAUUACUGUGAAUGAAAGAAAAAGUGUAAAGUUGAUCAAAACUCAUCCCUUGACUUAUGGAGAGUAGUCUAGAUGUCAGCAGAUACAGAGCAUAGAUUGCUCUGCACUUGCACUCUGUACUUACCACAAAAUAUCUUUGUCUUACACAAAUCUGUGACUACUGUAAUAUUACAGAAGACAGGUACUGUGAGGCAAUCUGUUCUGGCAUGUUGCAUUUGACCCUUGCUUUUUUGCGACUUCCCAAGUGUGAGAAUGAGAAUCAACACUCUUAUCUUUUACUUUGAGGGCUUGAGAUGAUCUAUUUGUUUUACUCUUAAUUUGAUAUUGAAAUCCCAUCCACUGUCAUACUGCAGGAAUAACGCUGUGUCUAAUAGUGGGAAGGGACUGUAGAGAAUUAGAGGGGAACAGCACUAAUUAUUUGUACAGAAUUUUCAGGCUAGAAAAAUUCUGAGUCAAAUACAGGAACCUGCUGCUACUGUCAGGAGGAAACGAGAGAGAUAAAAAGAAGAGCCUUGGUGAAGAUAUGCAAGUUUUUGAUGUUCCAUGCACAACUAAGUGGUAUUCAGGCAGGGGGAGGGUUUGAGGAUAUGUAAAUAGAAGAAGGAGACAGGGAGGGUAUACAUGCUUAGAAGUAGCUUUAAUGGUGUUAGCCACAACUUUCUUAGUAGAGCACCUUCCCUUCCAGCUCAUUGUUGCUGCGUGUCCCUUGUGAAAGUGCUAUAGACAGAAGGUACAAAAAAUCUUUUUAAAGGACAGCAGGACUGAAGAAUGCAUGAAUGAAGAUACUCAAUAGCACUACCUUUCCUAAUAAUAUUAAUUGAAUAAAUUGACUCUGCUGUUUGGAUAGAAAACACUUUUCAAAUGAGCUGUCGAUGAAAAUUGUUGGGCUGAAACAGCAGCAGAAUAUGAAGAAAAGCAAAAAUACCUCCCAUUUUUACCUCAGCCCCCUUCUCACCUCCUCCCCCAAGGUCCACUUGCUUCCCCUUGUUGUGUACAGUUCACCAGCUGUGCCCUGUGAGAUGAGCUUGGGCGGGCUACUUUCUUCACACCUCUGUGUGAUGAACACAGCACUUUCCCAAUCUGCUGGACUUAGCGGUAUUUCUUGGGCCAGACUGUCAGGUUGCUGAGGAUAACUGAGGGUUUAAUUUGCAGUUUGCAUUCUUUUCCUAAGUACUGCAUGCUCUGGAGAGAAGUCAAAGUGGUUGCAUGAUCGUGAACUCAACGGUUCCAUCCAUCUCUCCUUUAAUUUAGGAAAGUCAGUUCUGUCCCAGAGGUAUUUCACAUGUUGGACACACUAAGCUCAUUUAUAUUGCGAAGGACAAAAAUAAAAUGCUGUUACUAAAGGAAUGAAAAGUCUGGUGAGCUUCAGUUUCUUUCUGCCAGAUUAAAUAUUCUAAUUGUUUAAAAUUGCACAUAGAUACACAAGUGGUCAGUUUGUGUCUGAAUUUACCUGUCUUAUGCAUAUGAUUUAUACCAUAAAUGCAGCAAUUUAUACAGCAAAUUAGGUAAACAGUAUCAUGCUGAUAUUUUCUAUUUAAUAUAUUUAAAAAUUUAGAGCCUGUUUACCAAAUGAUAAUGUAUACAAUGAAGCAGUUUGAAAGACAAAAGCAGUUGCACACUUUGGUUUUUGAAUUAUAGGAUUAAAAAUCAGGAUUUUUAUCCUGUGUAUGAGAUUGUAUGACUUUUGUUUUUACUUUUAAAUACACAAAGUAUUUGUAUACAGCUUCUAACCUCAGGUCACCCUUGAAGGAGCCAGCAUUGGUGAGUUCUGGCAGUGCUGCUGUGAGGUAAAGUAGCAAUUGUGUUAAUGAAGAACCUGAGGAGAAGUAUAUCCGGUCUGCUAAAGACUUAUUUGCAGUAAAAGAAGCUGAAUUUUUUUCAUUUUAUUUCUCUCUCUUUUUAUUUUUUUUUUUCCUUUUUCCUGAUUUCAGUGAUGAGAUGUGGAAAGAAACAGGAAGCAGAACUGAAUUUUCUUUCAAAUAAGGUUAUUUGGCUUGAAAGGGGGGAAAAAUAAGUGAGGGGGUUAUGUGAUGUUUUGUGGUAGAAUUUUUACCAACUUUCUUUAUCAUUCUAGUUCUUAAAAAAUUGUGAGUCUCCAUGAUACGAAGCAGACGUUCUCAUGGAUUACCUUAUUUGAUGUUCUUGUAUGAUACAGCUUUUAUUCUCCCUUCAGGACAACUGGAAUCAAAUGCUGUGGUAAAUGAUCAUCAGAGCAACUUUUUCCGUAUCUCCAGGAUUCCAGUGUAUUCACUGCAAUAAUCUAGAUGAUGGUUAUAAAAUUAGCAGUUAUGAUACUGUUCCCAUAGAUGACUUUUGUCCUUCCUCCCACUCACCAAUGUGGUCUUGGUUGCUUUCAGUUUUGACUAGAGAAGUUAUGCUCCCGUGACAGAGUAGUAGCAGGCAUGCAGCACCCUAAUGCUGAUCCAAUAUCUUCGUCUCCAGUGAAGAGGAAUGGGAUGCCUGAAUACAAGGGAAAAGGCAAUGAGUCAGUUACCUCCUUUGAUUUCCCAUCCUCCCCUGGUAUCAUUUCUGCCUUUCCUGGGCAGCGCUGUUACUUUCUACAAGACAAGAAAAACAGCAGACAUUGUUCCAUGUGGGCAACAUUUGGCAGUGGAGUACGGGUCUUGUUAGAGUCUUGUUAGGUCUUGUUGCUUUGACUCAGAUACCACUUUCUUGCGUUAGACCCACCAUAGAUUGGAAGGAACCAAAAGGAUAUCUUUUGACUGUAAGCUGUGAAAGUGUUUGAACAAGC
ensembl:lncRNA